UGGGGAAUUUUCCGCAAUGGGCGAAAGCCUGACGGAGCAAUACCGCGUGAGGGAGGAAGGCUCUUGGGUUGUAAACCUCAAAACUUAGGGAAGAAAAAAAUGACGGUACCUAAUGUAAGCAUCGGCUAACUCCGUGCCAGCAGCCGCGGUAAUACGGAGGAUGCAAGCGUUAUCCGGAAUCAUUGGGCGUAAAGAGUCCGUAGGUGGCACUUCAAGUCUGCUUUCAAAGACCGAAGCUCAACUUCGGAAAGGGAGUGGAAACUGAAGAGCUAGAGUAUAGUAGGGGUAGAGGGAAUUCCUAGUGUAGCGGUGAAAUGCGUAGAGAUUAGGAAGAACACCAGUGGCGAAGGCGCUCUACUGGGUAUAUACUGACACUGAGGGACGAAAGCUAGGGGAGCGAAAGGGAUUAGAUACCCCUGUAGU
rnacentral:rRNA from 1 species